rnacentral:rRNA from 1 species
AUACGGAGGGUGCGAGCGUUAAUCGGAAUUACUGGGCGUAAAGCGUGCGUAGGCGGUUUGGCAAGUCAGGUGUGAAAGCCCUCGGCUCAACCGAGGAACUGCACUUGAAACUGCCAGACUGGAGUUCGGGAGAGGGUAGCGGAAUUCCGGGUGUAGGGGUGAAAUCCGUAGAUAUCCGGAGGAACACCGGUGGCGAAGGCGGCUACCUGGACCGAUACUGACGCUGAGGUACGAAAGCGUGGGGAGCAAACAGGAUUAGAAACCCGGGUAGUCC